rnacentral:rRNA from 1 species
GACGAACGCUGGCGGCGUGCCUAAUACAUGCAAGUCGAACGCACAGUUUAUACCGUAGCUUGCUACACCAUAGACUGUGAGUUGCGAACGGGUGAGUAACGCGUAGGUAACCUGCCUGGUAGCGGGGGAUAACUAUUGGAAACGAUAGCUAAUACCGCAUAAUAUUGAUUAUUGCAUGAUAAUUGAUUGAAAGAUGCUAUUGCAUCACUACCAGAUGGACCUGCGUUGUAUUAGCUAGUAGGUGAGGUAACGGCUCACCUAGGCGACGAUACAUAGCCGACCUGAGAGGGUGAUCGGCCACACUGGGACUGAGACACGGCCCAGACUCCUACGGGAGGCAGCAGUAGGGAAUCUUCGGCAAUGGACGAAAGUCUGACCGAGCAACGCCGCGGGAGUGAAGAAGGGUUUCGGAUCGUAAAGCUCUGUUGUAAGAGAAGAACGGGUGUGAGAGUGGAAAGUUCACACUGUGACGGUAGCUUACCAGAAAGGGACGGCUAACUACGUG